AUUUGGUGUGGAUUUUUAUUAAUUCCUAUUUUACCCUUUUUGGGCUGGAUUUUUCUUUUACAAUUCUACCCUUUUUGUAACACGUAUAAACUACCUAAAACUACCAAACCCACUCUCUUCCAUUAGAUAAACGCAUUUCUUUCUUUCCUUAUAUCACUUUCUACUUUCACAUUUUUUCUACUGACCUUUUCUUAUAUUUCCUUCAAUCAAAGGUUAUUGAAGUUGUUCAUCGUGUGGUUAAUUUGAUCAGAACACCAAAUUUAUUAUAGAUUCUUUUAAAUUAAGUCCAAAUAUGAAUACAAGAACAAGCAUGAAGUAGAUGGAAUAAAGCGCAAGGAGAAGGAGGAGAAAUCCCUUCAAGGUUUUGAAUAUUGUGCUAAACUUUUCAUGUUAUUGGUUUGUUAAUUUUGUUUGCAAUGAAUUUUAUUUGGAUCGAAAGCGUUUCAUUUUUAUUUUUUUGUACUACAUAUUGAAGCAUCUGAUGAUCAUAUGCUACAAAAUUGCAUAAAUUGUUGAAUGAUUUUUAAUUUAA